rnacentral:rRNA from 1 species
GGCUCAGAAUGAACGCUGGCGGCAUGACUAACACAUGCAAGUCGACGUGAUCGACUUCGGUUUGGGAAAGUUCCAGACGGGUGAGUAACGCUUGGGAACGUGCCCUUUGGUCUGGAAUAACUCAGGGAAACUUGAGCUAAUACCGGAUAAGCCCUUUACGGGGAAAGAUUUAUCGCCGAAGGAUCGGCCCGCGUCCGAUUAGCUAGUUGGUGUGGUAAUGGCGCACCAAGGCGACGAUCGGUAGCUGGUCUGAGAGGAUGAUCAGCCACACUGGGACUGAGACACGGCCCAGACUCCUACGGGAGGCAGCAGUGGGGAAUAUUGGACAAUGGGCGCAAGCCUGAUCCAGCCAUGCCGCGUGAGUAUGAAGGCCUUAGGGUUGUAAAGCUCUUUCACUCGCGACGAUAAUGACGGUAGCGAGAAUAGAAGCCCCGGCUAAUCGUGCCAGCAGCCGCGGUAAUACGAAUCACUAGUGAAUUCGCGGCCGCCUGCAGGUCGACCAUAUGGGAGAGC